GAUGAACGCUAGCGGCAGGCUUAAUACAUGCAAGUCGAGGGGCAGCAUGAGUGUAGCAAUACAUUUGAUGGCGACCGGCAAACGGGUGCGGAACACGUACACAACCUUCCUAUAAGUGGGGAAUAGCCCAGAGAAAUUUGGAUUAAUGCCCCGUAACAUAAUGAUGUGGCAUCACAUUAUUAUUAUAGCUACGGCGCUUAUUGAUGGGUGUGCGGCUGAUUAGAUAGUUGGCGGGGUAACGGCCCACCAAGUCUACGAUCAGUAGCUGAUGUGAGAGCAUGAUCAGCCACACGGGAACUGAGACACGGGCCCGACUCCUACGGGAGGCAGCAGUAAGGAAUAUUGGUCAAUGGACGCAAGUCUGAACCAGCCAUGCCGCGUGAAGGAUUAAGGUCCUCUGGAUUGUAAACUUCUUUUAUCUGGGACGAAAAAAGGCGAUUCUUCGUCACUUGACGGUACCAGAUGAAUAAGCACCGGCUAACUCCGUGCCAGCCGCCGCGGUAAAAC
rnacentral:rRNA from 1 species